CUUCACGAACAGAACCGUCUGGCCGGGCUCCUGUUUUCUGAGGGUUUCCUAAAAGGCGAGCACCCGGCCCUUCCCCGCUUCCGCCCCGGCUGCGGUUGCCGGCGGGGCUCUGGAGGGAAGCGACUCUGCGGAGCCGCGGUCACCUCCGGAGGUCCUCGCCCCUCAGUCCCUUUAUUCCCGAAGCCUGGCCCGGCCGUGCCGGGCGCCCUGGGAAGGCGGGGAUGGUUCCGAUGGAGACGCAGCUGCAGAGCAUUUUUGAGGAGGUGGUGAAGACGGAAAUUAUAGAAGAGGCUUUCCCCGGGAUGGACUAAUGUGUAUUGUGAAUAUCAUUUGACUGCCAAGCAGUGAUUGUGCGUCUCUUCUGGACAGGCCCUGGGACUGUGGUGAGGACAAGACAAGGUCUCCAUUCGGGAGAAGCUGGCAGCCUUGCCCCUUAUUUUUCAAACUGCAAUACAUUCUAUUCAAAAUAAAGCACAUAAACACA